rnacentral:rRNA from 1 species
AAGUCGUAACAAGGUCUCCGUAGGUGAACCUGCGGAGGGAUCAUUACUGAGUGAGGGCCUUCGGGCUCGACCUCCAACCCUUUGUGAACACAACUUGUUGCUUCGGGGGCGACCCUGCCGUUUCGACGGCGAGCGCCCCCGGAGGCCUUCAAACACUGCAUCUUUGCGUCGGAGUUUAAGUAAAUUAAACAAAACUUUCAACAACGGAUCUCUUGGUUCUGGCAUCGAUGAAGAACGCAGCGAAAUGCGAUAAGUAAUGUGAAUUGCAGAAUUCAGUGAAUCAUCGAAUCUUUGAACGCACAUUGCGCCCCUUGGUAUUCCGAGGGGCAUGCCUGUUCGAGCGUCAUUUCACCACUCAAGCCUCGCUUGGUAUUGGGCGCCGCGGUGUUCCGCGCGCCUCAAAGUCUCCGGCUGAGCUGUCCGUCUCUAAGCGUUGUGAUUUCAUUAAUCGCUUCGGAGCGCGGGCGGUCGCGGCCGUUAAAUCUUUCACAAGGUUGACCUCGGAUCAGGUAGGGAUACCCGCUGAACUUAAGCAU